AACGAACGCUGGCGGCAGGCCUAACACAUGCAAGUCGAGCGAGGUAGCAAUACCUAGCGGCGGACGGGUUAGUAACGCGUGGGAACGUGCCCAAAGGUACGGAAUAGCCUCGGGAAACUGAGAGUAAUACCGUAUGUGCCCUUCGGGGGAAAGAUUUAUCGCCUUUGGAUCGGCCCGCGUUGGAUUAGGAGUUGGUGGGGUAAUGGCCUACCAAGCCGACGAUCCAUAGCUGGUUUGAGAGGAUGAUCAGCAACACUGGGACUGAGACACGGCCCAGACCCCUACGGGAGGCAGCAGUGGGGAAUCUUAGACAAUGGGGGAAACCCUGAUCUAGCCAUGCCGCGUGAGCGAUGAAGGCCUAGGUUGUAAAGCUCUUUCAGCUGGGAAGAUAAUGACGGUACCAGGCAGAAGAAGCCCCGGNUAACUCCGUGCCAGCAGCCGC
rnacentral:rRNA from 1 species